rnacentral:miRNA from 1 species
AUGGAUGGGGGUGAGGGGUGCA